rnacentral:rRNA from 1 species
CGCGUAGGCGGUACAACAAGUUGGGCGUGAAAGCCCUGGGCUUAACCCGGGAACUGCGCUCAAAACUGUUGAACUUGAGUGUGGAAGAGGUUGGUGGAAUUCCCAGUGUAGAGGUGAAAUUCGUAGAUAUUGGGAAGAACACCCGUGGCGAAGGCGGCCAACUGGUCCACAACUGACGCUGAGGCGCGAAAGCGUGGGGAGCAAACA